UACAGAGGGGGCAAGCGUUGUUCGGAAUUACUGGGCGUAAAGGGCGCGUAGGCGGCCUGCUAAGUCGAACGUGAAAUCCCUGGGCUCAACCCAGGAACUGCGUCCGAUACUGGUUGGCUUGAAUCCGGGAGAGGGAUGUGGAAUUCCAGGUGUAGCGGUGAAAUGCGUAGAUAUCGGGAGGAACACCUAUGGCGAAGGCAGCUCGCUGGGACGUUACUGACGCUGAGACGCGAAAGCGUGGGGAGCAAACAGG
rnacentral:rRNA from 1 species